AUUGAACGCUGGCGGCAUGCCUUACACAUGCAAGUCGAACGGUAACAGGUCUUCGGAUGCUGACGAGUGGCGAACGGGUGAGUAAUACAUCGGAACGUGCCCAGACGUGGGGGAUAACGAGGCGAAAGCUUUGCUAAUACCGCAUACGAUCUAAGGAUGAAAGCAGGGGACCGCAAGGCCUUGUGCGUUUGGAGCGGCCGAUGGCAGAUUAGGUAGUUGGUGGGAUAAAAGCUUACCAAGCCGACGAUCUGUAGCUGGUCUGAGAGGACGACCAGCCACACUGGGACUGAGACACGGCCCAGACUCCUAAGGGAGGCAGCAGUGGGGAAGUUUGGAAAAUGGGCGAAAGCCUGAUCCAGCAAUGCCGCGUGCAGGAUGAAGGCCUUCGGGUUGUAAACUGCUUUUGUACGGAACGAAAAGGCUCUGGCUAAUACCUGGGGCACAUGACGGUACCGUAAGAAUAAGCACCGGCUAACUACGUG
rnacentral:rRNA from 1 species